AGCAACUCCCAAAAAUCGAACCCCUCCACCCUCCAUCGUUCUUUUUCUUCAGCAAAACAACGACCCCUCUGAUUUGGAGCGGGGAGCAGCCAUCUUCAACCUUGAAGACAAGAGAACAAGACAAACCCUAGAGCUCUAGACCCCAAAAGACAACAACCGCCACCCUCCUCUCCAAGACCCCAGCCGCAACUUCCAAAAAUCGACCCCCCCACCCCAUGCCAUCUUCUUCUCCACAACACCAACAGUCAUCUUCACCUACACAGAAGAUCAAAAGGUUUCAAGGUGUUAGGAAGAUAUUUUUGUUUUUCAAUUUUCAUUUGACAUUCUAUUUCCCUUCAAAGUUCGCACGAAAUAUCAAUGAGAUUUUCGGACAGAAAAAAGAAAAGAUUCGAAAGAAAAAGUUUCUAGGGUGUCGAUUUCUUUGUUUUCCACAUUUUGUCUUCUGAUCUUUGGAUUCAGUUCUUUUUUUUUGUAUAUAAAAAAAAAGAAAAAUCAGUUCAUCUAGCUUCAAUUAUACUUUAAAAUCAGAAAAAUACAAAAAAAAAAGGAUAAUUCCGUUGCUUCCUCUAGAAUUUUCUUUUGAAAUGGAGUCAAGCUGAAGUGGGUGUUUGGAUUUGGAGUUUCUCUUCGAGAUCGUUUCCCGGUUUGAAUUUGCGGUUUCUGCUUCAUAUGAUUGUAUUUUCCUCGGGCCUUCAUCUUGUUAAAUCUGUUGCCGAAACUUUCUUUACAUAUUGAAGGAGAAGCAUUUUCAGGUAUGGAUUCAUUUACCACAGCUCGAGCAUGAUUGAUAUCUCAGGACCAUCGCAUUUUGGAGGUUAUUUGAAGAGGCCUUUUAUAUUUUGAGUUUGUUUUCAUGUUUUCUUUUGCUUUCUUGUCUUGUCUAGUAGUUUUGAGUCUUUUAGGUGGUGUAAGAGUUUGUCUAGUCUUUUGUUAUCAUACUUCCUGUGAUGUAUUUGAAAAAACAAAAAAAUUAUAAAUGAAAAAUUUAAAAAAGAUUUUUAUUUUUA